ensembl:lncRNA
GGGCCUGGUGGCAAAAUCAGGUCAAGACUUGGAAGGAUUAGCUACAAUCCCCACCUCCGUAUUCACAGAAUUGGGGUCCUGGCCUCGGUACGUGGAAGGUGGAAAUAUGGAAAGCUGAAUGCAGUCCCAGUCCCCUGAUCUUUCACCUUUCUUCACCCACUGGCACCUUAACUUCACCUGUGAGACGGGCGAGCUAAGUGUUGAGAGAGAACCAGGCGUUUUAUUUUAGUCCAUGCUCAUUGCUGGGAAGUGAAACCAAGAAGUAUCUAUCUAUCUCAAGUGAUUGAACUCUUCCCCUUUUCGAAAGGGUUCCUGUUCCUGAAGUUGGUACCUGUGACUCAUUCAAGGCAAAUUUUCAAGAAUGUAAAAGUGUAGGUCAUAUGGAAGUUCCCAGGCUAGGGGUUUAAUCAGAGCUGCAGCCAUUGGUGUAUGCCCCAGCCACAGCAACACCAGAUCCGAGCUGUGAUGCAACCUACACCAUAGCUCAUGGCAGGGCUGGAUCCUUAACCCACUGAGAGAGGCCAGGUAUUGAACCCGAAUCCUUAUGGAUACUAGUUGGGUUCUAACCUGCUGAGCCACAACAGGAACUCACCUUUGGUCAAUCUUCGAAAAGCUGGUUGCUCCUCAUCAUUCAGGCUUGCCUUUAAUGUUACUUUCUCAGAUUUUCCCCUCCCCCAGUUUAAGUGCCACUCACAAAACCCUGUUUGAUUUCACUGUAGAGCAUUCAUUACUGACCUUUUUUCCUUGUCUAGUGUAUCAUUCCUCUCUCACACUAGAGUAUUAUAUACUUGUGAAGAACUACUUUAUCUUUUUCACUGAUCAUCUGUGGAGCCUAGCAGGUUACAUUUUACAUAGAAGAUGCUCAAAAAUAAUUUGUUGAAUGAAUGGACAAACAUUUUCUCCAGCCCUUUAUAAAUCUCACUCUCUUCCAUCACCAUUGAACAAAAGGGGAGCUAACUAGUGUUAGCUCCAUUUCCAGGGGUCUUGUUCUGUGUUUUGCCUUUCAGUGGUUUCCAGUGUCUUUUUUGUUUCUUGCUCUUACCAUCAUUAAAAAUAAAUACCUGCUGUUUUCUUUACUGCUAUAUUCACUUAGAACAGUGCCUGGCAUAUAAGAGAUCCUUAGCACCUUUUUAUUCAGUGAAUGAAUGAAUAAUGAAUUCAUCUGUACAUUGAAGAAGCAAGUUGCCUAAAUGUAGGUUACAUGGAACUGAUUUUUUAAGGAUGAAGAAAGGAAAGAAAUUUCUAAAGCAGUUAGGUACAGAUUGAGUAAAAGAACAAGAGAAAAUUCAUUGUGUAAAUGCUUGCCAUUCAAAACCAUUCUGCCCAUAGCCAAGAAUAGUGAAAAAUAAGAUGAAGUCCUCUCAUUUCUGUUUCAGCAUUAUGAUUAUUAAUAUUAUGAUUCUUAAUAUUAUUCCAUUAUAUAAAUGUAGGCCCCUUGAAGGUAGGUUAUCCUGUGUUGUGCUUUUAAAAAUUUUUCCUGCUUAGUGGGUUAAGGAUUGGCAUUGCUAUGGCUAUAGCGUAGGCUGGAAGCUAUAGCUCUGAUUCGACCCCUAGCCUGGAAACUUCCACAUGCUGUGGGUAUGGCCCUAAAAAGCAAAAAAAAAAAAAAAA